rnacentral:lncRNA from 1 species
AAAUAUAGAGACUGGACCUUGAAUUUCAUGUAAAUCAACUUAAAAUCCGUACAAAUUUAUCGCUGAGCAAAUGGAACAUCCAUAAUAACCAAUUAGUUGCUAUAUUAACUCGAUUGCUGAAUAGAAUAGCCAAAAUCGAAGCUCAACUAAAUAUGCACAAUAUCAACACCUAAUUUGUUUGUAAAUUGAAUCACAAUGAUAAACAUUAUAGUAGUUUGUUUUCGAAUGUGGCCUUUCUAAAACUUGCAAUUUUAUUGAAACAUUACCAGAAACUUAAAGAGAACAAAGGCAAAAUAAUAGUUAUUAUAGGCACUUGCUUAGCCGCAGGGUUCUUAUUGUUCCUUGCUGGAGUUUGGUGACUUUAUAGGAAACUACAUAAAAGAAGAAAAAUAAAACGCAAGUAAGAAUAACCUAACAUGUUGAUCCAGUCGAGCAUAAUGACCAGAGUUCACUAAUUUUGUCUAAAACUAUUAAUAGAUCUCUAUUUUUCCUAUCUAUUUUAGCAUAAUAGAAAAAAAAACCUCACCUGUAAAAUCAAUUGCAACAGCCACAUCGAAAAAUCAAAGCAAAGCAACAGGGGUUACAGAGAGAUGUGAAGAGGUAGCAAAGCAGUUGCUCGAAAAAAAUAAUAGUAGCAGGGUAGAGAUGUGAAGAUUCAAUUUUAAUUAGGGUUAAGUAAAUUUUAAUUGGGAUUUAAGGGAUUUAUGAUUAAAAAUCUCUAUCGUUCCUAUCUAUUUUAGCAUAAUAGAAAAAAAAACCUCAUUUGUAAAAUCAAUUAUAGCAGUCAUGUCGAAAAAACAAAGCAAAUCAGCAGGGGUUAUAGAGAGACGUAACGAGGCAACAAAGCAGUUUCCGAAAAAAAUAAUAGCAACAAGGGCUACAGAGAGAUGUGAAGAGGUAGCAAAGCAGUUG